rnacentral:rRNA from 1 species
ACGCUGGCGGCAUGCUUUACACAUGCAAGUCGGACGGCAGCACAGAGAAGCUUGCUUCUUGGGUGGCGAGUGGCGAACGGGUGAGUAAUAUAUCGGAACGUACCGAGUAAUGGGGGAUAACUAAUCGAAAGAUUAGCUAAUACCGCAUAUUCUCUGAGGAGGAAAGCAGGGGACCUUCGGGCCUUGCGUUAUUCGAGCGGCCGAUAUCUGAUUAGCUAGUUGGUGGGGUAAAGGCCUACCAAGGCGACGAUCAGUAGCGGGUCUGAGAGGAUGAUCCGCCACACUGGGACUGAGACACGGCCCAGACUCCUACGGGAGGCAGCAGUGGGGAAUUUUGGACAAUGGGCGCAAGCCUGAUCCAGCCAUGCCGCGUGUCUGAAGAAGGCCUUCGGGUUGUAAAGGACUUUUGUCAGGGAAGAAAAGGCUGUUGCUAAUACCGACAGCUGAUGACGGUACCUGAAGAAUAAGCACCGGCUAACUACGUGCCAGCAGCCGCGGUAAUACGUAGGGUGCGAGCGUUAAUCGGAAUUACUGGGCGUAAAGCGAGCGCAGACGGUUACUUAAGCAGGAUGUGAAAUCCCCGGGCUCAACCUGGGAACUGCGUUCUGAACUGGGUGACUAGAGUGUGUCAGAGGGAGGUAGAAUUCCACGUGUAGCAGUGAAAUGCGUAGAGAUGUGGAGGAAUACCGAUGGCGAAGGCAGCCUCCUGGGAUAACACUGACGUUCAUGCUCGAAAGCGUGGGUAGCAAACAGGAUUAGAUGCCCUGGUAGUCCACGCCCUAAACGAUGUCAAUUAGCUGUUGGGCAACUUGAUUGCUUAGUAGCGUAGCUAACGCGUGAAAUUGACCGCCUGGGGAGUACGGUCGCAAGAUUAAAACUCAAAGGAAUUGACGGGGACCCGCACAAGCGGUGGAUGAUGU